rnacentral:lncRNA from 1 species
GCUAAACUAAAAUUAUGUUGAGGUAAAAUGAACAUAAUCCAUAAGCUUUUUAUAAGAGAAUGGAUCGCUACAUUUCCCACAACAAAAUGCAUUCCUUCAUUUCCCUCGUUUAGAAUUCAAACUAAGUAAGAAGUUCUUACCAUGUGAGUGGAUUAAUUUUUUGUUAAGUCAUGUCAACAUUAUUGCAAGAGAAAGGAUAAGCAUGCUACGUCAGGCAUGAGGUGUAAUACUAAUCUUCAGAAACAUUUUUAAUUAGGUCAAAUGUCGGGUUCAUUAGUGCUAAUUUAACCCCUAAAAAUCGAAAUUAGAGAUAGAAAUCAUGAACUGAUUACAUUACUUGUCAGGGGAGAAAGAUUGACAGUAGGGCUCUAAAAUCCUCACACUGCAUAUAUUUAUAUUUCCUUAUAAACAAGCUAUGUACAUGUAAGAAUUUUAACAACCUGAGGGUAAAGAUUUUGGUUAGUUAAGACCCCAGCAACUCAAGUACAUGACAGUUCUGAGAGACUCUUCGGCCUAUUUCAACCUAUCGAUGUUGGCAGCCUUGAAACCCUCGGAGUUAACUGCAUUGAGAUGACGCCUUGCUUGCUUAGAGGAACACCAAGAAGAAGAAUCCUUGAGAGAUUCACACUUGGAUGUGUUAUAACUAUAAUCAGUUAACUAGUUAGUUAAUAAACAAACUAUUACGUCUGUUGUUAAAGUCAGUUAGUGCAGUUUAACCUUCCUGCUCUAUAAAUAAACAGCAACUUUGUACUGAAGUUUUCAAGAGUUUUAAUAAAAGAUUAGUUCGUAUCAUAUCUUAACAUGGUAUCAGAGGU